rnacentral:misc_RNA from 1 species
GAUGAAGAACGCAGUGAAAUGCGAUAAGUAAUGUGAAUUGCAGAAUUCAGUGAAUCAUCGAAUCUUUGAACGCACAUUGCGCCCGCCAGUAUUCUGGCGGGCAUGCCUGUCCGAGCGUCAUUUCAACCCUCGAACCCCUCCGGGGGGUCGGCGUUGGGGAUCGGCCUGCCUCUUGGCGGUGGCCGUCUCCGAAAUACAGUGGCGGUCUCGCCGCAGCCUCUCCUGCGCAGUAGUUUGCACACUCGCAUCGGGAGCGCGGCGCGUCCACAGCCGUUAAACACCCAACUUCUGAAAUGUUGACCUCGGAUCAGGUAGGAAUACCCGCUGAACUUAAGCAUAUCAAUAAGCGGAGGA